GUCUGCCUCGAUUUUUUUAUCGUUGGCCUCACAUCAGGGAGGAUCACCCGCCGAAUUUAA
rnacentral:rRNA from 1 species